AGCAAGUAAUUCGGUUAUCAUCCUAGUUACAAGGCAGUGAGCACAUGCAUAUACGAUCUUAUGUGAAUACUCGUAGCUUUCCAGACGAAAAAAAAAAAAAAAGGGUGAAGAACAAAUAUGCCAUCACAGCGCUAAAUUUUUGUCUUCGAGGCUGUCUGAAAAAGCAUUCCGAGUAUUGGACCCCUUUCCCUACAGUAAAAGCUGAUACCAACGUUUUCAAUAAUUAUACCCCCAUCAGAGCUUGUUGUGUUGUUACUUGGUGAGUUCUGAUCAAGCAAGUGUUCACCGCGGAAGAUUUCUUGGGUUACAAAGGAAAACGGGUAAUCUUUAAACCGACCAGCCACAUGAAUGUCAUAUUAAAACAUGGCGCGCUUCACCGUUUAAGUGCGUUGUUGGCAGCUGCCACGGUAGCACGCCGCAGCUGUUGAGCUCAAACGAUCGCGCCUUCUCCUCUUCCGUUUUGUUAGCGCGUGUUUAAGUCUUCAGGGUUGAGAAUAGUGUUCUGGCCAAGAGGAGUAAUACUCCAAAGGUUGUUCUUAGUUUCGUAAACAAAGUUACAUCGUUUGUUAAUUCGUUACAACGUAUAGAUAGACUGCCUGCCACGCAGGAUCGUUAUGCACGAAAUCUGGACCGGGGUAUUUAUUAUUUACGAUUCUAUUCUAUACUCGCGGGCAACUUUUGUGGCUAUGAAGGGAAAGCUACGGGUGCAUGGCUGCUGCACAUGUGUUAUGGCGCCAAGUAGUCCGACAGCGUCGCUUUUGAUUGCUCGGAGCAGACGCUGAAUCGAGGCAGCUUCCACGUGCGACGGUUUCGCGUUUCCCCAGACGCGGGAGGGAAAAGCACCAAAAUAGGCAAACCUUUACGCUCAGCGGUGUGCUCCGUCUUAUUUAACUGUUGAUAGUAAGACGUUUACGUUUUCUCUUCCCCGGCCUAAACUGACGUGGAUUAAAACGCGGGUACUGUUUUCAGAGGCGCUCUCACUUGUGCGCGCUUUGCCUCCAUAGCUUUCCCUUCAUAGCCACAGGAAGUUGUCCGAAGCCUGACGUCGCCUGCCUCCGUCUUGUCCGACCGUGAUUAGUUCGCUGCGCGUAUAAUGAUCACAUUGACCAUGAGGACGCCGCUGCAGCUCUGGCAUAGGUAGGGCGUCGCGCGACACAAUGGACUUCCGGGGUGUAAGCAGCGUACGCCUUCAAAACCACCUCCACCACCAGCAACAACAGCAACGACGAGAAAUAAAUGAAUAAAUAAAUAAAUAAAUAGACGUAGGAGAUACGCAGGACGCAUCCAAAUGAAUUACUUCUUGCUUACAUGUUUCUUCGCUGUCUAUCUGGCUGGCUGUUUGUGUAGGCUGAAGGACUCGCACGUGAUUGUGACCUUGGAUGCAUCACUUUUAGAUGGAGGCUGCUUGUUUGCCUGGUGCCUAUAUGGGCACCGUAUAUACGGGAAGCGUCUUUUUUGGCUGUAACAUAAAAGCGCGCAGCGCGCCGGCGUUAUUUAUAAACGACACAGACUUGCCGUUUUCUUUGGACUCCGCCCUUCAGUUUUCUCACGUGCUUGCCUCGUCUAAGCUGGGCAGACUUGUUCACUUCGCAAUUACCUUUUUUUUUAAAUUAUUUUCUUUCUCAACCCCAUAAUUCACGCGUCUUGACUCUUCGUCACUUUGAUUUUGUUGCAUUUUUAGGAACUCGUGUGUUGCUCUUUACUUUGUGGCCUGACUCAGAGACCUGUUUUUAGAGCCCGGCUUAUUUUUACUCGCGCGCGUCGUCCAGGUCGGUACAUUUUGCUGCUUACGUUUCCUCGCCAUGCCUAAGCGGUAAUAUCAUCACCGAACGCUUCUGAAGGGCAAUAAACUCUCAGGACUCACUGCGCCGUGGACAGUGUUUCUUGUACGUGUUACGUGUGGAGCGCACGUCGGCGCAAAUCACUUGUCUCUAAUUUUGCACAACUGCAAACAGUAUACAAGAAACGAAGGCCAUUCAGACAAUUAAGAAACUGCGCUAGAUUAAUUUUAUUUCUGUGCAUUAUCAUCGAGCGUGCUAAAAACUGACGGUACAGAAAAAAAAAAAAGCACCGAAAGUCAGUUUGGAGCGAUUCACUGUAAGGAUUCACGAGACGUAUGUGUUGCAUGCAGAGAGCGAGAGAUUUCAAGCAUAUUAAAGUCAUACUGAGACGCUGGCAUCUCUUGAAGGUGACACAAGCUGCUCCAUUUACUUUUGCGAAGUAGAAGGCAGUAGCAGUAGCAAAUCGCACGAAAGAGAUGCCCCCUGAAUAACUGCGAUUGUUCGCAUUCAUAGUCGUGCCAUGGCGACUUUUGGUGUCAUAAUUAUUCAGUGCCUGCAGUUUUAUUUUUGACUUAGUAUUGUUCCACAGGAAAGGUUUAGCAACACCGAUUAAUCACGAAGAAAGAGGAAGUAAGAUAAGCAGCAUAACAUAUAGAAACGUUUGCACGUUUGUGUCGCUGCUCGUUGACCUGAUAGAUUUGAUCCCUUCGUGUAAACCGUGGCUCGGGCUAGGCUCCUACGCUCGUCGAACGUCCGCGUUGCCGUGGCACGAUCUCCAUCGGGCCUUUUGUUUUCACGGUCACGGCUGUUUCGGUCGACCUGUGCGACUCGGGACUCCUGCCAAGCAUCGUCACGUAGUCUGCGCAAUGGACUACUAAUCUUGGCGUGCGCCAAUUUGACGGGCCUCCCAUGCGCCGGCGCGCUUGCAGUGAAGGAAGGCGUCAAGAUAAUCAGAGCCCACACCUUCCCCCGCCACUAUCUUAGAGGUCCUUAGAUAUUCAACAUUUUUGCCCUCUUUAUUUUUGAAUAACCAGUUGACAAGCAGCAUGCUUUUAAACAAACGAAAGACUGAGGUGUAUGCUUUGUUCCCGACAAAGAAUAUGCCAUACCACUGGUCUGGCAGACGAAGAGAAACGCGUGCGCGCACACACACAAACACAGAGAAAGAACGCUCGCUCUAUCAUCACAGUUUCAAACAAGACAAUAAUAAGCAUAAUAAGACGAAGAAAACACGCCAAGUCAAUACAUCGUUCUGCUCGUCCCUCUCAUUGCGAGUGGUGACGCAAAGCUCGGGUGCUGACGUUACUGCACACUUUUGUGCCCUCGGGUGCGGACCGCUCGAUAGGCCGCUGCCUCCUCAAGGCCGUCCCGCGCCGGAAGCAUUGUCCGACAAGGAAGCGGCGACGGCGGCCAAGCGCAUCGACCGCGGCCUCCCUCGCCACCACCACCUACCACUACCACGCUCGCGCCCGAUUGCGUGCCGCGCAGGCAACGCGCCCUCGCUAGCGGAGGCGUACGCGCUCGGCGGUAGAUGUCGCUCCUGAGCGCGGCGCUGUCGGCGCUGUACGACGCUGCUCGCCUCCGGCCGUGUUGUGCAGUGGCGCCAUCUGUCGCUAGAGUAAUGCGGACCGUUCGAUAUUGAGGCUGCGCGUCUGGGGCGGUGCCCUACGCGUCGCCACACCAUCCUACUACGCAAUUCCCGCCUGGGGGUGCGACUUGAGCGUCGCCUUCAUCGCCUCUGUGGCUGCCAACUAUCUGUCAUAGAGUUACUUCGGCACGUUGGCACUGUGGUCGACAGUUCGGCGGCAACGUGCCUGGUCGGGAAGAUAACUUUGACUUGAAUCACUUUCACUAAAUUCUUAAACGUUAAUAUAUUCCAGGUUAAUGUCAAAUAUAACUGACGCUGGCCCUUUAGGUUGAAGCACGUGAUUAUUUUUUCUUUAUAUUGGCGUGGGUGGUGGUGUAGUUCUGCGACAAGAGCGACAGACAACGAAGCUCACACAUUCACUCGCUCACUCAUUCAGUCACAACAUAGCAUGUUUAAGGAUAACACAAAAGAAGACAACGAAGAAGCACCAGAGGAAUUAAACAGUGGCUUUAAACAUGUGGUGCAAAUGAGUGAUCAAAGCCAUGCGGCCUUUCUCGGUUCAGCACGUCAUGCGAUAAAACAUUCGGUGGUACCUUCUACGAGCAAAAUAAAAGAACGCAGUAUUGAGUGCAGUGGCACACCCAUAACAUUCUACUUGGGCGGGAUGGAAGGCAGAUAAGACUCGGGAAACGUCCUGAUGGGUGCACCGGAUGCAGGUUUACGCUCGACUGGAUGACGUCCACGCAACCUGUGACAUCACCGGCCAUAGAAGCGGGAACCAUGAACAGAGAAAUCCGAAUAAAUUACUCACCAUGAAGAGAGAAAGAGAGAGUAUGAAAGGGAAGGACUUUGACUGCGCAGUAGUCGCUACCCACGUACCAGCGGACGACGCACUUAGUCGUAAGGACAGAAAAUAAAAACUUCUGAAGCCAU